rnacentral:rRNA from 1 species
UUUUUAAUUCCUUUUUAGAUGAGCCUAUGUUAGAUUAGCUAGUUGGUAGGGUAAAGGCCUACCAAGGCAGUGAUCUAUAGCUGGUCUGAGAGGAUGAUCAGCCACACUGGAACUGAGAUACGGUCCAGACUCCUACGGGAGGCAGCAGUGGGGAAUAUUGGACAAUGGGCGCAAGCCUGAUCCAGCUAUGCCGCGUGAGUGAGGAAGGCCUUAGGGUUGUAAAACUCUUUCAGUGGGGAAGAUAAUGACGGUACCCACAGAAGAAGUCCCGGCAAACUCCGUGCCAGCAGCCGCGGUAAUACGGAGGGGGCAAGCGUUGUUCGGAAUUAUUGGGCGUAAAGGGCAUGUAGGCGGUUCGGUAAGUUAAAGGUGAAAUGCCAGGGCUUAACCCUGGAGCUGCUUUAAUACUGCCAGACUCGAGUACGAG